rnacentral:misc_RNA from 1 species
CCUAUAAUAUAAAUGAAUACAAAUAAAAACAAACAAAUCGAACCAAACUAUAAAAAGUACUUGUUAUUUUUAAAGUUUAAAGAAACUAUGUAAGGCAAAUAGUACUAAAUAAAAAAAAAGGAGCAAUAACGCCCUCUUGUUUUAUCAAGAGGGAAGCUAUUGCUCCUUUUUUAGUUCAAAAACUCCUAUACAAUCAGACCAAAGUC